UACAGAGGGUGCGAGCGUUAAUCGGAAUUACUGGGCGUAAAGCGCACGUAGGCGGCUUGGUAUGUCGGGUGUGAAAUCCCCGGGCUCAACCUGGGAACUGCAUCCGAAACUGCCUUGCUCGAGUAUGGGAGAGGGAAGUGGAACUUCCGGUGUAGCGGUGAAAUGCGUAGAUAUCAGGAGGAACACCAAUAGCGAAGGCAGCUCGCUGGGACGGUAUUGACGCUAAGGCGCGAAAGCGUGGGGAGCAAACAGG
rnacentral:rRNA from 1 species